AGGGAAUCUUCCGUAAUGGACGAAAGUCUGACGGAGCAACGCCGCGUGAGUGAUGAAGGUUUUCGGAUCGUAAAGCUCUGUUGCCAGGGAAGAACGUCUUGGAGAGUAACUGCUCUAAGAGUGACGGUACCUGAGAAGAAAGCCCCGGCUAACUACGUGCCAGCAGCCGCGGUAAUACGUAGGGGGCGAGCGUUGUCCGGAAUUAUUGGGCGUAAAGCGCGCGCAGGCGGCUGUUUAAGUCUGGUGUUUAAUCCUGGGGCUCAACCCUAGGUCGCACUGGAAACUGGGCAGCUUGAGUGCAGAAGAGGAGAGUGGAAUUCCACGUGUAGCGGUGAAAUGCGUAGAGAUGUGGAGGAACACCAGUGGCGAAGGCGACUCUCUGGGCUGUAACUGACGCUGAGGCGCGAAAGCGUGGGGAGCAAAC
rnacentral:rRNA from 1 species